rnacentral:rRNA from 1 species
ACGGAAGGCAGCAGUGAGGAAUAUUGGUCAAUGGGCGAGAGCCUGAACCAGCCAAGUCGCGUGAAGGAUGAAGGUUCUAUUGAUUGUAAACUUCUUUUGUUCGAGGGUUAUGUGAUCUACGUGUAGGUUAUUGCAAGUAUCGAACGAAUAAGCAUCGGCUAACUCCGUGCCAGCAGCCGCGGUAAUACGGAGGAGGCGAGCGUUAUCCGGAUUUAUUGGGUUUAAAGGGUGCGUAGGCGGGAUGUUAAGUCAGCGGUUAAAUAGUGUAGAUCAACUAUACUUCGACGUUGAAACUGGCGUUCUUGAGUGUAAACGAGGUAGGCGGAAUGUGACGUGUAGCGGUGAAAUGCUUAGAUAUGUCACAGAACCCCGAUUGCGAAGGCAGCUUACUAGGAUAAAGCUGACGCUGAGGCACGAAAGCGUGGGUAUCAAACAGGAUUAGAUACCCUGGUA